rnacentral:rRNA from 1 species
AUGGCGGCAAAGAAACAUCUCUUUCGCUUCGGGUCUUUCGCGAUAAGGGACGGGUCAGAGGUUCGUUUCUGGGAAGACAUCUGGCUAGGCAAUGCCAGUCUUCGAGAACAAUAUCCAGCCCUGUACAACAUUGCUCGCGAAAAGAAUAAUACUAUUGCGCAAGUGCUCAGUUCAUCCCCACUCAAUAUUUCAUUUAGGCGGGAUUUGAUUGGCCCCCGACUUAUGUCAUGGCACAAUCUUUUAUCCCGUCUGGAUUCGAUUAAUAUUAGACAAGGCCGGGAUGUGUUUCGCUGGAACCUUACUACAUCAGGGUCAUUCACAGUAGACUCUAUGUACCGUGCACUCAUGCAUUCUGAGGUACCGGUGAGUAAUAACAAGAAAAUCUGGAAGUCGAAGAUUCCACUAAAAGUUAAAAUCUUCAUGUGGUAUCUUCGUAGGGGAGUUGUUCUAACCAAAGACAACCUCGCACGACGCAACUGGCCAGGGAGUAAGAAGUGUUGUUUUUGUACUCAUGAAAAGACAAUCAAACACCUCUUUUUCCAAUGCAAGUUUGCACAUACUACGUGGUCAAUCAUCCAAAUAGCGUCAAAUUUGUAUCCGCCCACAAGUGUCGCCAAUAUUUUUGGUCACUGGUUGGACGGUAUUCCAAAUAGAUUUAAAACGCUAAUACGGGUGGGAGCAUACGCCUUACUAUGGUCGCUUUGGCUAUGUAGAAAUGAUUUGGUUUUCAAUGAUAAAAAUGCUUCUCCUUUGCAGGUUAUUUUUCGUUGUACGCACUCGCUUCGUACGUGGUCUACGCUACAAUGA